AACGAACGCUGGCGGCAGGCUUAACACAUGCAAGUCGAACGCGUGUAGCAAUACACGAGUGGCGCACGGGUGAGUAACACGUGGAUAUCUGCCUUUUGGUUCGGAAUAACUCCGGGACACUGGAGCUAAUACCGGAUGGUUCCUACGGGAUAAAGAUUUAGCGCCAAAAGAUGAGUCCGCGCACGAUUAGCUAGUUGGUGAGGUAAUGGCUCACCAAGGCGACGAUCGUUAGCUGGUCUGAGAGGACGAUCAGCCACACUGGGACUGAGACACGGCCCAGACUCCUACGGGAGGCAGCAGUGGGGAAUAUUGGACAAUGGGGGCAACCCUGAUCCAGCCAUGCCGCGUGAGUGAUGAAGGCCUUCGGGUUGUAAAGCUCUUUUGGCGGGGACGAUGAUGACGGUACCCGCAGAAUAAGCCCCGGCUAACUUCGUGCCAGCAGCCGCCGUAAAAC
rnacentral:rRNA from 1 species